UCACAAGCCACAAGAGCAUUAUUACAAAAAGUAGGCAAAUCAACAAUUUUCACAGCAUGAUCGAUCAUUAUGAAAAAUACCACAAUAAAACAUUGGUGCCAGUACAAUUGCACAAAGGUUCAAAUGAAAAUAUAGGAACCAUCUCACCUUCGCCCAUAACUUGGACUCCUGCGAAAUCGAGGUGGACUGCGGCUACGGCGUCUUCCUGCACCACCACCACCACGAUUGCGACAUUCACGAGCAAAAUGGCCAGGUUCACCGCACUCGUAACACUUCAAAUCAGAACCACCGCCACCACCACCUCCGCGGCCACGACCUCCACCGCCGCCGCCGCCACCACCACCACUUCUAGAAUUGUGAGAAAGCUCCACCCUCCAUCCAUUCUUGCCUGUUACACAGAAUACAAAUGAAAAUUCACAAUAAAUAUAAACCAAUAAAUAAGAAAACUGUUCCAUGUGACUAGAUUUAUGAGAACAAAAACAGAAACCGUGUUUGAAACUGACGUUUUCUAUAAGGAACAUUUAGCAAAAAGAUUAUCAUAUUGGUGUUAGGUUUCACACAGAUAGGUAUUAGACAGGUAAAUAUUGGUUGAACAUAGCGCUAUAACCCUGCAAACAUACUGUCUUCAAACUGAAGGUCUCGGUAGAGAUAAAAAAAAAAAUAUCAGCACCAUUAAACGGGUAACAGAAAAGCUUGGAUUACUUUAUCUUCAGAUCUUUAAUUGCACAAGUGUAACAUUGUUCAAAUAAAUACUUACACACUCUGAAGCACAGACACCUCUGAGAUAAAUACUUACAUACCCUAAAGCAUGGACACCUCUGAGAUUAAGCCCGACACCGACACAUGCUUAUAUUCAAUUAAUUCAUUUUCUCAAAGUAUCGCCAUGCUUAUAUUCAAUUAAUUCAUUUUCUCAAAGUAUCGCCGGUGUCGACGUAUAUGUCAGUGUUGUGUCCAGUGUCCAUGUCUAUGCACAGCUUACACAUAUUCACUUAAAAUAUAUUCAAACCUUAUUUUAAAAUGAAGAGUUCUUGCAUGAAACAAACAAAAUCACAAGGCUAUAAUAUCAAGGACAAAAUUUUCCAAAUUUCAAGAAAAUUGAGCAGCAUGAGCUAUGAGAACACAACAGCAAUAUCAUAUACACAUCAUUAUGAACAAGUUCUUCAUUCAGUAAAGACAAUAUUGUGUUACCAUAAUAUUUUCCGAAGUUAUUUAACCACUGAUCGAAAACAGCUUAUCAGAGCACAAUUUGCUCAGAGGGACAUAUAUACAGAACACAGGCAGCACUCACAUGGCCGACAGGUUAAUUGCAGUAGCACACAUCUCAUAAAAUAAAGCCGUUAUGCAAGAGAAGUGUAGCGCCGACAGGUUAAUUGCAGUAGCAAACAUCUCAUAAAAUAAAGCCGUUAUGCAAGAGAAGUGUAGCUUGCGAGAUAACACCCCAAAGCAGUGCAAAUCCUCAGUUCACAUUGUUAACUCGCUCUACAUGAAGUCAAAGUGUACAAAGCAGCAGACUCUGACGAAGACUAACGAAAAAACCACACUACUGCAGAGCUGCUUGCAUAAGAGAUUUACAAUGCAGAAGUAGAAGACUUAAAUACGUAGAGUUGAGGAAAAGCUGUGAACAAAUCAUAUCGACCGGAAAAUGGUGGAAAAACAAAUAAUACAUUAGCAGUUUAGAAUAAUGUCAUAGUAAUAUACAU
rnacentral:lncRNA from 1 species